rnacentral:rRNA from 1 species
GAUGAACGCUGGCGGCGUGCCUAAUACAUGCAAGUAGAACGCUGAAGCUUGGUGCUUGCACCGAGCGGAUGAGUUGCGAAACGGGUGAGUAACGCGUAGGUAACCUGCCUCUUAGCGGGGGAUAACUAUUGGAAACGAUAGCUAAUACCGCAUAAAAGUCGAUAUCGCAUGAUAUUGAUUUGAAAGGUGCAAUUGCAUCACUAAGAGAUGGACCUGCGUUGUAUUAGCUAGUUGGUGAGGUAACGGCUCACCAAGGCGACGAUACAUAGCCGACCUGAGAGGGUGAUCGGCCACACUGGGACUGAGACACGGCCCAGACUCCUACGGGAGGCAGCAGUAGGGAAUCUUCGGCAAUGGGGGCAACCCUGACCGAGCAACGCCGCGUGAGUAAAGAAGGUUUUCGGAUCGUAAAGCUCUGUUGUAAGAGAAGAACGGGUGUGAGAGUGGAAAGUUCACACUGUGACGGUAACUUACCAGAAAGGGACGGCUAACUACGUGCCAGCAGCCGCGGUAAUACGUAGGUCCCGAGCGUUAUCCGGAUUUAUUGGGCGUAAAGCGAGCGCAGGCGGUUAGAUAAGUCUGAAGUUAAAGGCUGUGGCUUAACCAUAGUACGCUUUGGAAACUGUUUAACUUGAGUGCAGAAGGGGAGAGUGGAAUUCCAUGUGUAGCGGUGAAAUGCGUAGAUAUAUGGAGGAACACCGGUGGCGAAAGCGGCUCUCUGGUCUGUAACUGACGCUGAGGCUCGAAAGCGUGGGGAGCAAACAGG